AUUGGGUUAAGAGGAUGUGGUUUAUAGGAGGUCUCAAAAUGAAUGAGUUUCAAAUUUGUCAUCCAUUUUGAGAAAUUCCUAUAAACCACAUCCUUUUCUUCCAUUCU